rnacentral:rRNA from 1 species
GAUGAACGCUGGCGGCGUGCUUAACACAUGCAAGUCGAACGGAAAGGCUCCUGCUUGCAGGGGUACUCGAGUGGCGAACGGGUGAGUAACACGUGGGUGAUCUGCCCAGCACUUCGGGAUAAGCCUGGGAAACUGGGUCUAAUACCGGAUAGGACGAUGGUUUGGAUGCCAUUGUGGAAAGUUUUUUCGGUGUGGGAUGAGCUCGCGGCCUAUCAGCUUGUUGGUGGGGUAAUGGCCUACCAAGGCGUCGACGGGUAGCCGGCCUGAGAGGGUGUACGGCCACAUUGGGACUGAGAUACGGCCAGACUCCUACGGGAGGCAGCAGUGGGGAAUAUUGCACAAUGGGCGCAAGCCUGAUGCAGCGACGCCGCGUGGGGGAUGACGGCCUUCGGGUUGUAAACUCCUUUCGCUAGGGACGAAGCGCAAGUGACGGUACCUGGAGAAGAAGCACCGGCUAACUACGUG